GACGAACGCUGGCGGCGUGCUUAACACAUGCAAGUCGAACGGAAAGGCCCUGCUUUUGUGGGGUGCUCGAGUGGCGAACGGGUGAGUAACACGUGAGUAACCUGCCCUUGACUUUGGGAUAACUUCAGGAAACUGGGGCUAAUACCGGAUAGGAGCUCCUGCUGCAUGGUGGGGGUUGGAAAGUUUCGGCGGUUGUGGAUGGACUCGCGGCUUAUCAGCUUGUUGGUGGGGUAGUGGCUUACCAAGGCUUUGACGGGUAGCCGGCCUGAGAGGGUGACCGGCCACAUGGGGACUGAGAGACGGCCCAGACUCCUACGGGAGGCAGCAGGGGGGAAUAUGGCACAAUGGGCGGAAGCCUGAUGCAGCAACGCCGCGUGCGGGAUGACGGCCUUCGGGUUGUAAACCGCUUUCGCCUGUGACGAAGCGUGAGUGACGGUAAUGGGUAAAGAAGCACCGGCUAACUACGUG
rnacentral:rRNA from 1 species